rnacentral:rRNA from 1 species
UACGUAGGGUGCGAGCGUUAAUCGGAAUUACUGGGCGUAAAGCGUGCGCAGGCGGUUGUGCAAGACAGAUGUGAAAUCCCCGGGCUCAACCUGGGAACUGCAUUUGUGACUGCACGGCUGGAGUGCGGCAGAGGGGGAUGGAAUUCCGCGUGUAGCAGUGAAAUGCGUAGAUAUGUGGAGGAACACCGAUGGCGAAGGCAGCCCCCUGGGCUGAGAUUGACGCUCAGGCACGAAAGCGUGGGGAGCAAACAGG